CGGAAAUUACCCAGGAACUUUUUGCCCCAAUCUGGGAGAAGACACAAGGCCCAAGUAGAAGGAAUUUAAUUGAGGAGGUCAAGAAUCGUUGGCGGAGCUGCAGGGACCAGUUCCGCAAAGAGAUGAAACAUCGUGGGCGGAGCGGGUCUGGUCCCCCCAAGAAAAGGCCCUAUCUUUUCAGGGAGCAGCUGAUGUUCCUGCGCGAUGUUAUGGAGCUGCGUCCAACUGAAGACAACCUAGAGGAGGAAGCUGAUGAGUCGGGCCCACACCAAUCAGGUGCAUGUGAGGAGGACACCACAUCAGCCCAGCCUGAAAGUGGAGCUGGA